rnacentral:rRNA from 1 species
GACGAACGCUGGCGGCGUGCUUAACACAUGCAAGUCGAACGAAAUGGCGAACGGGAGAGUAACGCGUAUUCAACCUGCUCUUCAGUGGGGGACAACAGUUGGAAACGACUGCUAAUACCGCAUACUGCAGGUGGGGAUGGCGUCGGGUUUGCGGGUUGGAGGGGUAACGGCCCACCAAGGCGAUGAUCAGUAGCCGGGCUGGCAGGAGUGACGGGCACAUCGGGACCGGGACACGGGCCAGACUCCUACGGGAGGCAGCAGGGGGGAAACUGCCGCAAUGGGCGAAAGUCUGACGGAGCCACGCCGCGUGAGUGAUGACGGCCUUCGGGUUGUAAAGCUCUGUUAAUCGGGACGCGGUACCGGAAGAGAAAGCCCCGGCUAACUACGUGCCAGCAGCCGCGGUAAUAC